rnacentral:rRNA from 1 species
GGAUGGGCAUGCGUCGCAUUAGUUAGUUGGCGGUGUAACGGACCACCAAGACGACGAUGCGUAGGGGUUCUGAGAGGAAGGUCCCCCACACUGGUACUGAGACACGGACCAGACUCCUACGGGAGGCAGCAGUGAGGAAUAUUGGUCAAUGGGCGGGAGCCUGAACCAGCCAAGUCGCGUGAGGGAUGACGGCCCUAUGGGUUGUAAACCUCUUUUGCCGGGGAGCAAAGUGCCGCACGUGUGCGGUUUGGAGAGUACCCGGAGAAAAAGCAUCGGCUAACUCCGUGCCAGCAGCCGCGGUAAUACGGAGGAUGCGAGCGUUAUCCGGAUUUAUUGGGUUUAAAGGGUGCGUAGGCGGACGCUUAAGUCAGCGGUAAAAUUGCGGGGCUCAACCUCGUCGAGCCGUUGAAACUGGGUGCCUUGAGUGGGCGAGAAGUACGCGGAAUGCGUGGUGUAGCGGUGAAAUGCAUAGAUAUCACGCAGAACUCCGAUUGCGAAGGCAGCGUACCGGCGCCCAACUGACGCUGAAGCACGAAGGCGUGGGUAUCGAACAGGAUUAGAUACCCUGGUAGUCCACGCAGUAAACGAUGAAUGCUAGUUGUCCGGGGCGAUUGAGUUCUGG